AACUAACAAGGAUUCCCCUAGUAACUGCGAGUGAAGCGGGAAAAGCUCAAAUUUAAAAUCUGGGGGUCCCUGUGGCCCUCCGAGUUGUAAUCUAGAGAAGUGCUAUCCGCGCUGGACCGUGUACAAGUCUCCUGGAACGGAGCGUCAUAGAGGGUGAGAAUCCCGUCUUUGACACGGACUACCAGGGCUUAUGUGAUGUGCUCUCAAAGAGUCGAGUUGUUUGGGAAUGCAGCUCUAAAUGGGUGGUAAAUUCCAUCUAAAGCUAAAUAUUGGCGAGAGACCGAUAGCGAACAAGUACCGUGAGGGAAAGAUGAAAAGAACUUUGGAAAGAGAGUUAAACAGUACGUGAAAUUGUUGAAAGGGAAACGCUUGAAGUCAGUCGCGUUGCCCAGAAAUCAACCUUGCUUUUGCUUGGUGUACUUUCUGGUUAACGGGUCAGCAUCAAUUUUGACCGGUGGAUAAAGGUCAGGGGAAUGUGGCAUCUUCGGAUGUGUUAUAGCCCUUGGUUGCAUACAUCGAUUGGGAUUGAGGAACUCAGCAUGCCGCAAGGCCGGGUUUUUAACCACGUACAUGCUUAGGAUGCUGGCAUAAUGGCUUUAAUCGACCCGUCU
rnacentral:rRNA from 1 species